AUAGAACAAUAUAACGAAAGUUUAAGGCAGUUAUAUGAAGUAGUUUUGAGGGCUAUAGCAAAGUCACUGAACUUGGAAGAUGACUGCUUCCUAAAGGAAUGUGGAGAGGGAGAUUCAAUGUUUAUGAGAUUCAAUUACUACCCUCCAUGUCCUAUGCCUGAUCAUGUUCUGGGCGUGAAGCCGCAUGCUGAUGGAUCUUCUAUAACUUUUUUGUUGCAAGAUAAAGAGGUAGACGGUCUCCAAGUCCUCAAAGAUAAUCAGUGGUUUAAAGUUCCAAUCAUCCCUGAUGCUCUCGUGAUUAAUGUUGGUGAUCAAAUAGAGGUAGGUAAUAAAUUUGGUUAAUUAAAGGCUACUUUGUUAAGAAGCAUGAUAGUAGUAGAAUCUAACAAUGACAAAAAUAAAUUAAGCAAAAGGUUGAUUAUUUGAAAUUGGUAUAAUGAGAAAAGUUUAUUUCAAUGAGUGUAGGAUACACUUUAUAUAGUGAUCAUAACUAAACUAACAAAUCCUAACUAACUUUCAAUUAAUACUAACCAACUUAAAAUUACCUUUAACAAACUCCAACUAUAUGGAGCAAACUGCCUUUUGUUUACUUCAAGACUCAUUCUAGUAAAUUAAAAUAUAAUUAAGUUUUUAUGAGAUAGUUAUUUGCAAUUUUUAGUGGUUUCGCCGCAGAAGUAGAAGAAUAAAUGUGAGUAUUUUAGUUCACAUAAUGAUAGUAAACUUGUCUUUGGAUUUACCAAUGACUACAACACCGUAGCUUAUCCAUGAUAUAUAGCUGAUAGGAUUGACACAGCCUGUUGAUCUUGAAUGUGUUACACAGAUAAUGAGCAAUGGAAUUUUCCAGAGUCCAGUACACAGAGUAGUGACAAAUGCCGAAAAGGAGAGGCUCACAGUAGCAACAUUCUGCAUCCCAGAUUCAGAAAAAGAGAUUAAACCGGUUGACAAACUAGUGAACGAGUCAAGGCCAAUAUUAUACAGACCGGUGAAAAACUUCGUUGAUAUCUAUUUCCAGUAUUACCAGAAGGGAAGAAGGCCAAUUGAAGCUUCCAAAAUUGAUUAUUAGUUAAGUAUGAAACCUGUUGAUCUUGAAUGUGUUACACAGAUAAUGAGCAAUGGAAUUUUCCAGAGUCCAGUACACAGAGUAGUGACAAAUGCCGAAAAGGAGAGGCUCACAGUAGCAACAUUCUGCAUCCCAGAUUCAGAAAAAGAGAUUAAACCGGUUGACAAACUAGUGAACGAGUCAAGGCCAAUAUUAUACACACCGGUGAAAAACUUCGUUGAUAUCUAUUUCCAGUAUUACCAGAAGGGAAGAAGGCCAAUUGAAGCUUCCAAAAUUGAUUAUUAGUUAAGUAUGAAAUUUCUUGGAACUUUGUGAAACUAAAGAGAAUGAAAAUGAAAUAAAAUUUGUUGUGAAAAUUCUGAGCAGUGGCUCUGCUGCUUUAGAUCAAAUAAAUGCUGAUUUGUAUAAUACUAGUUUAAAGGUGACUUACAAUUGUAGUAGUAUGUGGAGUUUAGUUGUAUGCUAUUGGAAGGAAAGUUCAUUGAGGUGGCAUAAAUCCACUGAAUAGAACAGGAUAAUAGUUUUGUUUAGAGUACACACACAGGAAUAAGAGAGCACCAAGUAUAAAUCCCGGGUUAGGCUGGGAGGACACACAAUCCAUUGCAAAGAGGACAGAAACAAUCGAUGUUGUCUCUGGUUUGUAGGUAGUAUGUUAUAGCAUCUCUUGUUCACCAAACUUGAGUCAUUUCAUUAUUCACCAUAGAUUCAAUACAAAGAGGAAUAAACUCAAAGACAUGGUGACUAGGGUAACAAAUGGCCGCCUUUACAAGGGUUUGAGCAACCAUAUUCGUUUGUCGCCUAACAAACUUAACCUCAAAGUUUGGACAUAAAUUUAACAAAUUCUUAAUACUAGAAAUCAACAUGCUAAACUCUGAUACACCUGCAUAAUUCAGAGACAUAGCAUCAAUAACAUUGUGUCGGCCACUUGUGCGCGCAAACUGCAUGGCUUCGGGGAGAGCUGCUGCCUCCCCUUCAAUUACUGAAACUCUGUUGGCUUUCCAACUUGUUGCUGCAGUCACGAAGGUUCCGCUACUGUUACGGAAACAAAAACCACACUCGCCACUUUCCCUUCAUCGUGAAAUCUGGCGUCUACAUUCAUUUCAACCAAUCUUGUCUCAGCUUCUCUCAUCUAGCUAUAAUUAUUUUUGUUGCAUCGCUGCUGCUAUGCCUUCUUUUCUGAACAUAAUUCCAUUCCUGCCACAAAAUUGUUGCUUGUUCACCUAAUUGAGUGGCAGACCUCUUUUAUCCAUUCCAUAACCAAUUGUUGUUUCUAUUAUUCCACAACACCCACAUUACCAUAGCUACAUGACCAGCCACACUCUUCUCCUCCACACUACAGAUAUCCAUUAUCACCUCUAUAACAGAACUGAAAUGCUGCUUGCGCUGCUGCAGAAAGCUUGUCAAACCUGCCUGCUCCCAGCAACUGCAGCUUGUAUCACACGUGAAUAAGACAUGCCAAUCGUCUUCCUCUUCAGUGCACAGUGGAUAGAUUGAAGGGCAAUGCACUUGCCGGUGCUGCAGUCGAGUUCGCAUCAGUAAGUAUCCUCUACAAAUUCGUCAUAACAAAUGACGUGUCUUUGGCGGCUCGUUAAUCUUCCAAAUACAGUUCCAAUUUACUGUCACAGUAAAUUUAUCAGCACAACCCCAGUUUCUCACUAGAUGAUAGGAAUUCCAAAUACUACACUAGGAUUAUGACCAAGUGAAGCUUAUAAAAAGAGGAUUUGGGAAAUACCUUGCUUUAGUCUUAAAACACAAUUUUAACACAUUAUCCUUUGUCAAAAUUUACAUGCGUCCAACUAAAUUUAUAUAUGGAACCCACAAAAUUCAGUGGAAUAUUUUCACCAUGAUUUCCACAAGAUAUAAAAGAUAGCUUCCACUUUGUCGUAGUUUUCAGCGCAGUUUUAAGAGGAACAAACACAGAACCAAACACACUAUUAGAGUUUUUUUAUACUGCAGAAAUUAAAUUGUCUCUUUUUAAUUAUUGUGAGACUUAAAAAAAAUAUUUACUAACAAGAUAUUUUUGCUGUAGAUGGAUCGACAUACACGUACCAUCUAAAAAUUCACAAGGAUAUCUCUUGUUUGAAUGCAAACAAAACAAUCUCUAAACAUUCAUCCACACACAAAAAAACAGAUUCCACCUUUGAAUCCAAACAAACAACCACCGAACAUGUUGAUGUUUAAUAUAAUAAUAACGAUCUCAAUAUUGACAAUUGAGCCACCGCCACUGCUAUCAAUAUAUGGUAAGGUUUAUGUAAAGUUUUGCUUCAUCGUUCGUGAACAUCAGAAAGAUGGCAGAAUCGGUGGAGGUAGAGAUUAUCGGUAAUAAAUCAGCGCAAGACCUUGCGUUGAAUCCUGAAAAUAUUCCAAAUAAUUAUAUCCACAAAGAAGGUGGUGUUGGAUUUCGUGAUGCUCUUCUUCCUUCCGAAUCAGAUGAUAUUGAUAUUCCAGUCGUUGACAUCGGCAACCUCACAUCUCCAACUACAGCACAACAGGAGCUUGAUAAACUCCACUCUGCACUCUCUUCUUGGGGAUUAUUUCAGGUCAACUUCAGCUGUUGAGAUAGUUUGUUACUUUGUUUGUUGUCUAUUAGGUGACAGCUAAGAGUUUCAACUUAAGAUACUGAGUUCAAAUCUCUUCUAAUAUAGAUUUGGAUUGCAUGCAGUCAAAAAACUACAAGUCAGUGCAUUUUUAGUCCGACAAAGAUCGGACAGCCAUAAAUGCGCCCACUGAAGGACUGCAUGCAUGCAAUCAAAGUUCACCUCAAAUAUAGUAUAAAAAUAGUCAUUAGUAUUAUUUUAAUGUUAAAUAAGAGAAGAUAAUAAACUUUCAUUCUCUAAAUAUGGUGUAAGGACCAUUAGAUACAGCGUGAAGCGCCAUAAUGCAGCUGUAGGUACCAAAAAAUUCAGUUUUAGAGAACAGUAUAAUUAAUGUCUACUUUGUAUAUUUUAUGUGUCCUGUUAUGGUCAAUUGGUUCAAAUUAGAGAUAACAUAUUAACAGUAUAAUCCGUACUUUAAUUUAGAUACUCGAUUAGUUCUAUAAGGAUCAAAUCAUAAAGUAGAAAUGUAAAUGUUAAAUAAGUCAUUUUCACAAACCCAAGAAUGCUAUUCUCAAAUAAACUUUCUAGUACAUAUUGGUGGCUGAGUUCCAAUAAUGUUCCUAAUUAUUUUGUGUGAUUCAGGCAANNNNNNNNNNNNNNNNNNNNNNNNNNNGUAAUAUAUUCAGAAAAUCAAAAGCUUGAUUGGAAUGACAGAUUAUUUCUGAAGGUACAUCCUGAAGAUCAGAGGAAUUUCAAAUUUUGGCCCCAAAAACCCAAUGAUUUCAGGUAUAAAUUCUUAUCGUCCCGACUCACGUUCUCAAUAAAACUUAAUAUUAUUUUACACGGCAUGAAGUAACUGAUACUUUAGUAGCUCCACCGAAAGAUUUUGCUAUCUUGAAUAUCGUUUUAAUCUCUAUAAAAAAUAUCUAGAAUGUUUUUUCUAUUCUGCGUUCUAUAAAAAAUAUACCAUAACGGUGAUACAAUUAUUUGCUCUAUUAAUUUGUACACGAACAAUAUAUUUCAUGUCACUGGAUUUCUCAAUGCAGGAAUACUAUAGAACAAUAUAUCGAAAGUUUAAGGCAGUUAUAUGAAGUAAUUUUAAGGGCCAUAGCAAAGUCAUUGGACUUGGAAGAGGACUGCUUCCUAAAUGAAUGUGGAGAGGAAGCUUCAAUGUCUAUGAGAUUCAGUUUCUACCCCCCAUGUCCUAUGCCUGAUCAUGUUCUAGGCGUGAAGCCGCAUGCUGAUGGAUCAUCUAUAACUAUUUUGCUGCAAGAUAAAGAGGUAGAAGGCCUCCAAGUCCUCAAAGAUAAUCAGUGGUUUAAAGUUCCAAUCAU
rnacentral:lncRNA from 1 species